CGAACGCUGGCGGCGUGCUUAACACAUGCAAGUCGAGCGAUGAACCACCUUCGGGUGCGGAUUAGCGGCGAACGGGUGAGGAACACGUGAGGAACCUGCCCAUCACUCUGGGAUAACUCCGGGAAACCGGGGCUAAUACCGGAUAUUUUCAACUGGCGGCAUCGCUGGUUGAAGAAAGUUUUUCGGUGAUGGAUGGCCUCGCGGCCUAUCAGCUCGUUGGUGAGGUAAUGGCUCACCAAGGCAACGACGGGUAGCCGGCCUGAGAGGGCGACCAGCCACACUGGGACUGAGACACGGCCCAGACUCCUACGGGAGGCAGCAGUGGGGAAUAUUGGGCAAUGGAGGAAACUCUGACCCAGCGACGCCGCGUGAGGGAUGAAGGCUUUCGGGUUGUAAACCUCUUUCAGCAGGGAAUAAGCGAAAGUGAAGGUACCUGCAGAAGAAGCACCGGCUAACUAUGUGCCAGCAG
rnacentral:rRNA from 1 species